rnacentral:rRNA from 1 species
UGGCGAACGGGUGAGUAAUACAUCGGAACGUGCCCAGUCGUGGGGGAUAACUACUCGAAAGAGUAGCUAAUACCGCAUACGAUCUGAGGAUGAAAGCGGGGGACCUUCGGGCCUCGCGCGAUUGGAGCGGCCGAUGGCAGAUUAGGUAGUUGGUGGGAUAAAAGCUUACCAAGCCGACGAUCUGUAGCUGGUCUGAGAGGACGACCAGCCACACUGGGACUGAGACACGGCCCAGACUCCUACGGGAGGCAGCAGUGGGGAAUUUUGGACAAUGGGCGAAAGCCUGAUCCAGCAAUGCCGCGUGCAGGAUGAAGGCCUUCGGGUUGUAAACUGCUUUUGUACGGAACGAAAAAGCUUCUCCUAAUACGAGAGGCCCAUGACGGUACCGUAAGAAUAAGCACCGGCUAACUACGUGCCAGCAGCCGCGGUAAUACGUAGGGUGCGAGCGUUAAUCGGAAUUACUGGGCGUAAAGCGUGCGCAGGCGGUUAUGUAAGACAGAUGUGAAAUCCCCGGGCUCAACCUGGGAACUGCAUUUGUGACUGCAUGGCUA